AGAUAUGAUCCAGAGUACCACGGGACACGUGAAACCCUGUGGGAAGCAGGAGGGACCACCCUCCAAGGCUAAAUACUACCUAGUGACCGAUAGCGUAUAGUACCGUGAGGGAAAGGUGAAAAGAACCCCGGGAGGGGAGUGAAAUAGAACCUGAAACCCUGCACUUACAAGCUGUGGAAGCACAUUUCUUGUGUGACCGCGUACUUUUUGUAGAACGGGCCAACGAGUUACGUUAAGUAGCAAGGUUAAGCACUUAAGGUGCGGAGCCGUAGCGAAAGCGAGUUUUAACUGAGCGUUCAGUUACUUGACGUAGACCCGAAACCGGGCGACCUACCCAUGAGCAGGAUGAAGCGAAAGUAAAAUUUCGUGGAGGUCCGAACCCACGAGCGUUGAAAAGCUCGGGGAUGACUUGUGGGUAGCGGUGAAAUUCCAAUCGAGCCCGGAGAUAGCUGGUUCUCCCCGAAAUAGCUUUAGGGCUAGCCUCAAGGUGAGAGAUACGGAGGUAGAGCACUGAAUGUCCUAGGGGGUAUUGCACCUACCGAAGACUAUCAAACUCCGAAUGCCGUCAUCUUAUACUUGGGAGUCAGACUGUGGGUGAUAAGAUUCAUAGUCGAAAGGGCAACAGCCCAGAUCGUCAGCUAAGGUCCCUAAAUGUAAGUUAAGUGGUAAAGGAUGUGGGAUUGCACAGACAACCAGGAUGUUGGCUUAGAAGCAGCCACUCAUUCAAAGAGUGCGUAAUAGCUCACUGGUCGAGUGAUCCUGCGCCGAAGAUUUCCGGGGCUAAAACUUACUACCGAAGCUACGGCAUCAGUAAUGAUGGGUAGGGGAGCUUCCCAUACGGGUUGAAGCAUGACCGUAAGGACAUGUGGACAGUAUGGGAGUGAGAAUGUUGGCAUGAGUAGCGAGAUGUGGGUGAGAAUCCCACAGGCCGUAAACCCAAGGUUUCCAGGGGAAGGUUCGUCCGCCCUGGGUUAGUCGGGACCUAAGCUGAGGCCGAAAGGCGUAGGUGAUGGACAACAGGUUGAUAUUCCUGUACUACCGAUAACCGUUUGAGAGA
rnacentral:rRNA from 1 species